CUAUACAUGACUCUGCGCAUAUCAAUAAGCGGAGGAAAAGAAACUAACAAGGAUUCCCCUAGUAACGGCGAGUGAAGCGGGAAGAGCUCAAAUUUGAAAUCUUAAAGGGUUUCCCUUUACGAAUUGUAGUUUAAAGAAGUGUUUUCUGUUGAGGUUUUGGUAAAAGUUCUUUGGAAUAGGACAUCAUAGAGGGUGAGAAUCCCGUAUUUGACCUUUACUUUCAACUUUGUGAUACACUUUCAAAGAGUCGGAUUGUUUGGGAAUGCAGUCCAAAAUGGGUGGUAAAUUUCAUCUAAAGCUAAAUAUUGGCGAGAGACCGAUAGCGAACAAGUACCGUGAGGGAAAGAUGAAAAGAACUUUGAAAAGAGAGUUAAACAGUACGUGAAAUUGUCAAAAGGGAAGCGUUUGACACCAGUGUUGUUUUUCUGAAAAUCAAUUAAAGAACUGUUUAUGCUAAGCUGUUUAGACUUUAUCAGCUAAUCUGUUUAGUUUUGAGCUUUUCUUUAAUGCACUUUUCAGUUAACAAGUCAACAUCAAUUUCUUUUGCUGUAAAAAAGCUUGAGGAAGGUGGCUUGAGAUUCGUCUUAAGUGUUUAUAGCCUCUUGCCUAUGCAGUCGGAGAGAUUGAGGUCUGCAGCGUAGAUCCUUCGGGGCUAAAUGCAUUUGUGCUAAGUUAUAGCAUUUUAUAGACAACUUGUUGACUAUGAUUUGUCUUGUAGCUUACUCGCUUAUGUUAUUUUACCUACGCUUAGGAUGUUGAUCUACAGAGCGAGAGU
rnacentral:rRNA from 1 species